GUGCUGGCUUCGGCAGCACAUAUUCUAAAAUCGGACCGAUACAGAGAUGAGCAUGGCCCCUGUGCGAGGAGGACAUGCAAAUUCGUGAAGCAUUCCAUAUUUUU